CCCCGGCGACUGGCUGAGCGCAGCGUCGGCCCCGCCCCGGCCCCGCCCGGGGCCCCCCCUUAUUGAGCCGGAGGCCCAUCAAUCAGCCUCGCCGCUGCCAGUCCUCGGGCGGCUCCCCGCGCCCGCAGGCGGCUGCCACUGCCAUUGCAGCUCCCGGCUCCGGACGCGGACGGUUGCCUCUCCCUCUGCCCCCCCAGGAUGGCCCAGCCCGGGUGAGCUUGCAGGAUUCAACAUUGGCAGAAGGGAACACAGUCCAAAACUUGGAAGAUCAGACCCUACAGAGGAAACAAGGCCAGGAGGUGGUCUGGGGUGCGUUGUCACAGGAGCCAGGACUGGAUAGGCAGAAAAGACAGUCCAUCCACACCAGAAGGUUCUCAUUCUGAAGAGAUAGGAGAGUGACCUGUGGGAUUUUUUUUGAAGCGCAGCUGGCUGGGAACUGCUGGAGGACUCAGUCCCCUCAUCUCCCGCCCACUGGGACACCCAUUGGAUGGCAUGCAGUGGAUACCAGGGAAGGAGGCUGUGGACCUGCUCUGAGGGCCUGGGAUAAGGCAGAAUCCUCACUCCCCUGCACAUGAAGAUCAUUCCAAGAACAUUUAAAAUAAGUGUGAUUUUCUGAGCCCGACCCUAGAUCAGUUAAAUCAGGAUCUCUUCUGGGAAGUCUGUCGUCCUAACUGAAGUGCAAGUCAGGAGAGCAGAAUGUGUCAAAGGAAAAGGAGGUGGUGUGUCCUGAGUGUUCAGGGGAAGGGGCUCAGGACAGGGGCUGGAGAAGGGUGUGGAUGGAGACCAUGGCAACCAACAGGUUACCUGUAGACAGCAAUAAGGAUUUUCAUUCCAGAAAGACUCACACUGACUGCAGCGUUGUCCGGCUCUGCCUCCUUUGCUGUGCUGUCGUUCCAGUGGAACGUCUCUAUUCUUAGUUUCAGCGCAGGUAAACUACCACAAACUGGGUGUUCAAGCAACUGAAUUUCAUCAGCAUCUCAUAGCUCUGGAGGCUGGAAGUCCAAGAUCACGGCAUCAGCAGGAACCCUCAUCAUCCUUUUAGGUGCUUGUGGCCGAUCCUAGCUGCAUCCACUAAUAACAGGGGACCCCGCUCCAUUCUCCAGCCACCCUUCCACUUGAUGAGUCAUGUGACUAAUUCUGGAUGGUGGAUGAGCAAGACGUGUGUCCCUUCCAGACCGAGGUGUCCACUAGACACAUUCUGCUCUCCAUCUGCCAUCCGACUCAGUCCAGAAGAUGGCAGAGUCUCAAGUUGGACACAGUCCAGGCCCCUCUCAAGGGGCCUGGAGGACAGCCACUCCGAGAAGGGCUGCAGAGAGGAGUACAUGACCACAUGGCCCUGGGAAGCCAUGCAGGACCCAUCAGGCAAAGGAGAGGAAAUUCUGCUUUUCAUUCUACAGGAUGGAAAACAAACAUUGAUUAGUGGAUCUUUAUGGCAAAUGUGGACAGAGUGUUUGGGAGAAGAUGCAGAUAUCUAUUUGUAGUCUCCUGUACUAACACAGUAGAGUCAUGCUGUGUGCUCUUCACCAGUUGAUGAACAAAUAAUUUAUGUUUUAUAAUCUAAACUGUCAGAGUUUCCUUUAUGUAAUGACUAUAGACUAUACACAGCUACCUUUGUGGAACCUAAAAACAUCAUUGCUUCAGGCAAGAUGUAAUUUGCAAUAAAUAAUUUAGCAACAUACCUCUCUUCAUUCUAUUUACAGUAAGUUAAGAUUCAUCUCCAUGGCUGAUGUGAAGCACCCAUGAGUGGAUGGCAAAACCCAAAUAUAUCUCCCGUGUAACCCGAUUCAUGCUGAAAGGGCUCCAGGAAUUCCAAAGAUACUGCAGAGCUUGGAAUUCUUUCUGCCCUCCAAGUCAACAUA